CCGUUUCGUUCCUUCCCGUUCCCGAGGAAAUAUCCCCAUUCAGUUCCCCUUUCCCUUGUUCCAAUCCCACUCCAGCCGGCGGCGAGACAUCUGGGAGUGGGAGGUAAAACCCUAGCUAGAUCCGAUCCGAACCGAACACCGAACUGCGGCGCGGCGACAUGGAAGAAGGCCGGGGAUCGCCGGAGCCGGCGGGGGCGGCGGACUGGAUUGUCCUCGACCCGUACGUCCGCUGCAGCUGGCGGAGGAGGCACAAGUACGAGGAGGAGGACAUCACGGCGUCCAAGGUCGGCCGGACCUGCACCGGCUUCCCCGUCCGCGCCUCCCUCCGCGUCGCCGACCCGCCCGCCGUCUCCCGCCUCUACCUCCACUGCCCUCCCCAGUGGCCGGCCGACCUCCCCGAGGUCCGCUACCCCGACGUCAUCGCCGCCCACCGCGGCUGCAUCCUCUUCGUCGCCGCCGUCCCCUUCGAGGAACCCGGGUUCAACGUCGAUGGGCACUACCCCCUCGACUACUUCAUCUACUCCGCCUCCCCCUCCUCGCAGCCGUUGCUCACGCGGCUGCCGCCUUGCUUCGUCGGCGGCUUCACCGACCAGGAGGAGGACGAGUUGUACCAGCCGUACCACCAGCAGCGGCAGCGCUACAUGUGCAGCCGAGACGUCGGCCUCCUGUGCCGCGACGGCGACGGCGACGGCGAGGACGGCCGGUCGCUCUUCACUGUGGCGCACCUCACAUCCAGUGGGAGCAAGGAGGUGGAGCUCUGUGUUGUGCAAUCAGGGGAAGCGGAGGAGUGGAGCAUCACUCCCCUGCGUGUCCGUCGCGCCAUGAGCAUGCUCGGCCUCAACCUCGGCGAGUGGAGGACCGACGCCGUGCUCCCCCUCCACGACCGCUUCCUGUGCUGGGUCGACUACUACCAGGGCAUCCUGCUCAUCGACGUCCUCAACCCUGGGGACGAGCCACAUCAAUUCAGCUUCAUCCCGCUCCCCAAACCGGUGAGAGAUGGCAGCACCCGCUUGUUCAGCCAGUCCUACUGCGCCGACCCAGUUCGCUGUGUUUGUGUUAGAGGUAGUAGUGACAGUGGCUUCUUCAUCAAGCUGGUCUGCGUCACCAUUGCCGCCACCGCAGACAAGGAUGUAUACCCUCCUGCUUUCACCAUCACGGCAUGGACUCUGGUCAGCAUCGACCAAAAGACCUGGGAACUGGAUUUUACAAUGGAAGCCGCCGAGUUCUGGGAUCUUUGUGCUAAUUCCGUAGGUCACACCUGUGCUCUUCCGCGUGCUGUGCCGACUUUUUCUCACCUGAGCUUGGUUGAUCCAGGUGUCGUUUCCUUCCUGCUCAUGGAAAAGAUCGAUGAUGAGUUCCUGUUUUGGAUCGUUGAGUUGGACAUGACAAAUAAGGUGCUGCGGUCACUGCCCACCCUCUACAUCCAGGUGGAAGAAGAAGAAGAAGAUGAUGAUGAAAUAAAGAAAGUGCAAGAGGUACAAGGACCCUCCCGUUGCAAGGCCUAUAAGAGAGUCUUUCACGGCGAAUACUUCUUCCCCAGCCACUUCACCUCGUAUCUGAGAAAGAAUCCCAUCCAAAGUCGGCUACGGAGUCAAAUGAUGCAGAAGGCAAAGCAAGAGAGCGUAAUGCAAAAGAAACAAGUGAAUGUAAUGCAAGAGAUUCCAGGGGAACCCCUAUGUUGAGGCGUCCUCAAUCUACACAUUAUACAGUGGACUAGCCAAGAAGGCGCCAAGAGAAGAUAAUGGCGAGAUGUUUCUUUGGUGUGAUGACUUCAAAUUUUUCUAUCACAUUGACCAGCAAAAUAUCUCACCCGAAGAUGUAACGGCAAUCGGGACAGCGAAGAAGUGGAUGUGGUUGUCUAAAGUAGCCUCUUGUUUGAACAUCAAACAGGGCCACCGACUUAUUUUUUCAUGUGGAUCAUCACAGCUUCCUCACAGGGAAACAUAACAUAUCUAUCAUACCGCAACAUAUGUUGAUUUUUCCGGCGGAGGAUCAAACACGCCGUGUGAUACUAUCUGCACCAUGCCCCCAACUCAACCUACUAGUAAGCUUCUUGAUGACGACCAGAUGGAGUUUCUAACAAGGCAGUGGGCCCCGAAGCCACUAGUAAGCAUUGUAAUGGGGAUAAUUCUGUCAUGCGGGCAGGAGAAACCACUCUGCAAGCUAGGAUUCAACACUUGUUCAGUGAAUCCAAGAAGUUGUCUAUCAAUGUUGAGCAUAUAAUCGCCCAAGUUUCACAAGCGGUGAACAUGAACUGUGGCGCAGAGGAAAACUCCCUGCUCAAAGAAUUUGAUGGGAACAACCCCGUGACCCUGCCGAAACUUUCAGAUGUUGUUUCAGCCCGUGGUCUUAAACAUGUCUGGUCUGAGAUCAAAGCGUUUCAAGAAUUACUCAAGCAACGCCCGGUACAGAGAGAUAUUAUACUUAAAGAGAUAAGCAUCAACCUGGAUCUGUGGAGUAACUUCUUCUCAAAGCCACCUCCUGAAAUAAUUAGGCUAAUGGAAGGGUUACGCGUGCUUAAGGGAGCGCUAUCGGAGGAAGCGCCACUGCCAACUACUAAUCUUGUUCUCGCACAACAGGACCAGAUUAACCAACACGUCGAUCUGCUCCGCACUGCUCAAGACAAGGUGGAGUCAUCGUGUGUCGCUUUGGAGGCACUGACGAGUCAAUAUAAUGUAGAGCAAGCAGUAGAGGAGGGCAACAAGAGAGAGUGCUCACGACAAGCACGGAAAGUUAGAGCAGAGAUAGCAGUGUUGCAAGCAAGACUUCAACAAGUGGAAGAUGCCCACUCCAGUGCACAACACCGACAAGAUGUUGUAACAGAGAACUUGAACUCCCAUCUCGAGCGACAUCGUCAAGAAAAUGAGCGAAAGUAUGGCAAUGUCUUGGCAGCAGCCUGUAGCCGGGUUGGUUGCUCUUCUUCAAUCUGAAAGCGGGAAGUAGUCAUCUCCCACCCUCAGCAAAAGUAAUGGCAAUUUCAUAGCCUAUUGACCCAAACCACCUUUGAAAUAUAGCCUUAUCCUAUCCUCCUUCCUGGGAUAAAGGUAAAAAAUAUGAGGCACAUAAUUGAAGGAAAACUCAGAAAAGACCCCUUUGUUUUCAAGAGAUCCUGAUGAAACGUGAGCUCAUUAUCACAAGUUACACGAGGGAGUUGAAGCAUUAAGCGAGAUCCCGUCGUUAUUCAGAAAUUGAGGGCAUAUUACAUCCUCCAGCAGUUUGCCAUUCGUUACCUCAUAGCUUGGCGACCGGAAGAAAAGCCAACACACAAAAAAAAAUCCCACAUAUUUUUUUUCUCUCUCCUCCUUGGAAACAAGACAACUCAUUUAUUGUUUCCCCGAGUCGAGUCCCUGUUGCUUUGCACAUGAACUCUACUCGGCGGGGGCAUCCGUCUCAUAUGCUAAUAAUAUUUGAAGCCUGAAUUUACAAGAUGUGUGUGAAGAAGGCCUUUAUGACGCGUGGCAAAAAAAACACGUGGCAAAAGAAAAGAAGGAUGACAACGUCUAUGAUUUCCGGACGGAAAUUAUUCCUACUAAGUUUACUGUGGUGUUCUUAUUACAGUGAUAUGAUUACUUAAUAUAUGGUUGGAUCAUACCAAUGUCCAUGAUUUUCGGACGACAAUUAAUAUUAUAAGUUGUACAGUGUAAUGUGCUUUCUACAGUGAUUUUAUUAUUUAA